GAGAGAGAGAGAGAGAGAGAAAGGGAGAGAGGAGUGAAGAAAUUUUUGUUCUUUUCAUCUGCAAAGUUCUGUCUCUGUCUAAACAGUUAAUGUGGAUUAACUCUGCAGUGUGAUGAGGAAGACCUUUCCCUCCCUUUCAAAUUGUGGGAACCACGGAGAAACUAAACCCCGACUAAAAACAUUAUGGGUUGCUGCUGCAGUUUAGAUUAUGAUGAUGAUGACUGGGCUGUAGACGCUGAAAUUUGUGAGAUGUGUCAUUAUCCUAUUGAUCCAGCCACCAAGCCAAAGAAGCCCACUUUAAAUGGUUCUGAGUGGCAAACCCCUCUGUUGGGGGCCGAAGGGAUUCCUCCGCCUAGUUCACCCCUCCAAGAUAAACUGGUGGUUGCCCUCUAUGACUAUGAAUCAACUCAUGAAGGCGAUCUUCUGCUUCGAACAGGAGAACAGCUGAGGAUAGUAGAAGAGACAGGGGAAUGGUGGAAAGCUCAAUCUCUCACCACAGGGCAAGUGGGCUAUAUACCAUGCAACUUUGUCGCCAAGUUGAACACACUGGAACAAGAGCCUUGGUUUUUCAAAGCCCUCAGCAGGAAGGAUGCUGAGCGCCGUCUUCUCAGUGCUGGUAACACACAUGGUGCUUUCCUCCUUCGAGAGAGUGAAUCCACCAAAGGCUCCUUCUCCCUCUCUGUGCGAGAUUUUGACCAGAACCAAGGAGAAGUUGUGAAGCACUAUAAGAUACGAAAUAUGGACAACGGCGGGUUCUACAUCUCUCCUCGUAUCACCUUUGACAGCUUGCACAGCCUGGUAGAACAUUAUAUCAAUAAUGCGGAUGGGCUUUGCACCCGCCUAACCAAGCCCUGCCAAACUCAGAAGCCACAGAAGCCCUGGUGGCAGGAUGAGUGGGAAGUGCCCCGGGAGAGCCUGAAGCUGGUGGAGAAACUGGGAGCAGGGCAAUUUGGUGAAGUUUGGAUGGGCUACUAUAAUGGACACACCAAAGUGGCCAUCAAGAGUUUGAAACAAGGCAGCAUGUCGCCUGAAGCUUUCCUGGCUGAAGCCAACCUGAUGAAGAAACUGCGCCAUGCACGCCUGGUGAGGCUGUACGCAGUGGUGACUCAAAGGCCCAUGUUCAUCAUUACAGAGUACAUGGAAAAAGGCAACCUGGUAGAUUUUCUCAAAGCUGCAGAAGGCACUAAAUUAACAAUUUAUAAACUGCUAGACAUGUCAGCACAGAUAGCAGAAGGAAUGGCCUUCCUGGAGAAGAAAAACUAUAUCCAUCGUGACCUGCGGGCUGCCAAUAUCCUGGUGUCGGAAAGCCUCUGCUGCAAGAUUGCAGAUUUUGGGCUGGCCCGCCUUAUGAAGGACGAUGAAUACACUGCUCAAGAGGGAGCAAAGUUUCCAAUUAAAUGGACAGCCCCCGAGGCCAUCAAUUAUGGAACAUUCACCAUCAAAUCAGAUGUCUGGUCAUUUGGGAUUCUACUGACUGAGAUCAUCACUUAUGGCCGGAUCCCUUACCCAGGAAUGAGCAAUCCAGAAGUCAUCCAAAACCUGGAACGAGGGUACCGGAUGCCGCAGCCGGACAACUGUCCAGAAGAGCUGUACAAACUGAUGCUGCAAUGUUGGAGGGAUAACCCAGAGCAACGGCCCACUUUUGAGUUCCUAAAAGGGGUCCUGGAGGACUUUUUCACUGCCACGGAAGGACAGUAUGAGCAGCAGGUGUAAAGUUGGCCUCAAGCCAGGAUCCAUGGUACACUGUUCUCGCAACCAACAGAAAAGAUGCUCUUUUGAAGACUUCGCCCUGCAUCCAAGAUGGCGGCGGGGGGGGGGUAGGAUGGAGAAGAAGGGCUUAUUGGGACCCCAAUGAUUUCCUGAGUUCCUGAUCCCCGGCAAACUUCCCCCUUUUUUCAAAAGGAAAAGAAAACCAACAUUCAAAGGUGCCCGGAAGAACUGAGACGGAGAGUUCUCGCACAUGCUCAGCAGGCCAAGCCUUUUUUUAUUAUUAUCAUCACUUUUUGCUUCAGCUGCUCUGUAGAAGGCACAUGCACCUGGUAUACCGUAGCUAGUCUCGGCUUAUGACCGUGCUGAACCUGGCAAUUGCGGUUGUGACAGUCGUAAAGCAAAUGACCAGACCUGUUUUUACGGCCUAUUUUGCAGCGGCCUUAAAGCAAAAACUGGUCAUUAAGCGAAUCUAUUUUUUGCUACGGGGCAGUUUUUUCCAGAAAUUUAAAGUAAAAUCCUGGUUUCCAACAAAACCAUUGUAAAUGGAGGUCAUGUGUCUUUGAGGGAGGGGCAGCAUCAGAACUUCAAAUCUAAGUCAUAAGUAGCUUUGGGGAGGGAGUCUUUUGUAACUUUGAGUGGUCACUAAGAGACCAGUUGUAAGUUGAGGACUAGCUGUACAAAUAAAGAAGCACUGGAAGGCUGUUUCUUAAGGCAACGGUCCUUGAGGACAUUGGCUUUUCUGGAACCAGGUGUGGAAGCUGAACAAAGGCAAUAGAAAGUGAUUCUGGGAUGUGGUCAAAAAGCUCAAGAGGGUGGUCACAAUUGCUGUCGAAGCUCUGCCUUUAUUUUUGUGGUGAGGGCUUAGCUUGCACCAUUGUGGCUGCCAUUUUGACUUUUUCUGACCACACCUUGGAUCUGACAAAGAGAAGAAAGGAAGGUGGAGGAGGAAGGAAGGUGAUUUACAGGUUCCUCUAAGAGAGGUUAUUUUUAAACCAUUGUUUCUUGAACAAGCCAUAAUAACUUGGGUUCACACAUGACCUUAAACCGUGGCACAGAACAAAACGUGCAGUAAAUUUAUUCAGGAUGUGUCAGAAAACAGCGCAAGGAGCAGGGGAAGGCAACGAGUGAAACUUCAACUUGCUAAAUCAAAUUGAAUCUUCCAAA